rnacentral:rRNA from 1 species
AUUGAACGCUGCGGCAUGCCUUACACAUGCAAGUCGAACGGCAGCACGGGGGCAACCCUGGUGGCGAGUGGCGAACGGGUGAGUAAUACAUCGGAACGUGUCCUGUAGUGGGGGAUAGCCCGGCGAAAGCCGGAUUAAUACCGCAUACGAUCUGUGGAUGAAAGCGGGGGAUCUUAGGACCUCGCGCUACAGGGGCGGCCGAUGGCAGAUUAGCUAGUUGGUGGGGUAAAGGCCUACCAAGGCGACGAUCUGUAGCUGGUCUGAGAGGACGACCAGCCACACUCGGACUGAGACACGGCCCAGACUCCUACGGGAGGCAGCAGUGGGGAAUUUUGGACAAUGGGCGCAAGCCUGAUCCAGCAAUGCCGCGUGUGUGAAGAAGGCCUUCGGGUUGUAAAGCACUNNUGUCCGGAAAGAAAACUUCCUGGUUAAUACCUGGGGAGGAUGACGGUAC